GAAGGGACCGGUCUUGAAAACCGGCAGAAGGUUCACGCCUUGCGAGGGUUCGAAUCCCUCCUGCUCCGCCA
rnacentral:tRNA from 1 species